AUGAUGGCAAUUCAAAGACUUAGGCCUUCCAUGCCCAUUCAACCUAGCUCGGACAGAUUGUUCAAAAUAUUGAAAAUAGGCCACCUUCCCUUCCUUGGUCUAGUCAGACAUCCACUGUAGAUCUCUUUUAGAUGUCCUUCGCUUACUUAAGUUAAGGAGGCUUUGCCCGAGAGCCCAUUGCGAGGAAACAAAACAAAAAACCUAUCUUAUCUUGGCCGUAUAGAGGACAAAGUGCCUGCGCUAUCACUCAUUUCUUCUAUUAUAGAUUUGAAAACUGCAACCUGGUGCUUUUUCAAUGUGACCUUCAUUAGAGAAAUUCCUACUUCUUCUUCCUUCAAAGUGGAUCCACUUACAUUGUUAAGCAGAAAAGAAGAGCUAGGGCUUUCCCUUUGAAAGGGCAGAGGCGGUACUCUGAACAAGGUUCUAAAGAGAAAAGGUACACUAUUCACAAAUUGACAGAACUGAUGACGAAGCUCGAUCUCGUAUUGAGAAUCAUAGAAAUAGAGCCAGGAGUUCAGAAAUUGC
rnacentral:lncRNA from 1 species